rnacentral:lncRNA from 1 species
GAAUACAUAUUUUUCCUAGUCUGACUGCAUCUCUACUGGAUGCCACAUUGUGUAUAGAAGCAUAUAGAAGACUGAAAUUGUCCUGGAAAGAGGCUGAAUCGCAAUCAGAAACAUCUUUCUUUUCCUAUUCCAAAAGGAGAAGUGUGUCUUUGAAAUGCUAUAUGGAAAGCAAAGUUCCUGUGAAGCUCUCUGGCUUCAGAAGAAGUUCCAACAUUGGACUGAAAGUGGCAAUUCAAGACAGAAUUGGACCAUUUGAUAGACCAGUAGAUUUUUUUUUGUAGUUGGGCAAAGCAAACACAUACUUCAGCACCUCUGCGUGUUUGAGUGCUUCAGGACAUGAGAGCAUUACACCUACAUACUCCCCAUGUGACAUUCCCAGAAUGGUAUCUGGCGUUAAAUUCUGUUAUCUUUUGUGUGUAAUUAUGUGACUUUGAAUUCCCUUUUUAAGAAAUACUCAUCAUGAAUACAAAAUGCUCAUUUUCAAAUAUCAUCACAAAAAAAUCCAUUAUUUUCACUAUGUUUUCUGUCUUUCAGCUGUGCUUUCUGGUCAUUUUUAAAGCUUAAUCCAUCCUUUUGUGAUCUUCGCCAUGGGAAAGGUAAAUGUAAAUCUUUCCAAUAGCAAAGAAACAAAUGGAAUGAAAAAGAAAACUGUUUUGUUUUGACAGAAGUGUUAAAAUUAAAGCAUAGAAUGCAAGGGUAAAGCUCUGCUCUUCAGAGGAUUGUUUAGACUUCAUAGUAAUUAUUCAUUUUAUAUGCUUAUAUUUAAGGAUAGAUAAGAACGACCACAUUCACAUUUUUGUACUGUGUCAAGGGAAAGGUUGCAAAUCAACAUGAAGCUUGUGACUUUUUUUUUCUAUAUCCCUGACGUAAUAUUUUAUUUUACUUUAUUUUAUUUUGUAUUACAGAUGAAACCAGAUGAUUGCCUGGGUGCAAGCAGGGAGCAGCAAAGACCCUUGAUC